GUAUCUAUCUAGCUCAACCUCUUUCUUGUUUGUAUGACAUAAGCAGAUCUUGAAACGCCAUUGAUGAAAGCUUAAAGGAAUUAUCGUUGUUUGUGUUGGUGAGAAGGUAGAAUCUUUGAUACAACAACCACUGAUGCAAGAAAUUCUUGACACACCUAGAUGCCAAUUGAUGAUAAAC